CAGUCGCCACGGUAACACAGAGGGUGCAAGCGUUAAUCGGAUUUACUGGGCGUAAAGGGCGCGUAGGUGGUUAUGUAAGUGAGAUGUGAAAUCCCCGGGCUCAACCUGGGAACUGCAUCUUAUACUGCGUAGCUGGAGUGCAGUAGAGGGUAGUGGAAUUUCCGUGUAGCGGUGAAAUGCGUAGAUAUCGGAAGGAACACCUGUGGCGAAAGCGGCUCACUGGACCAUUUCUGACGCUGAUGCACGAAAGCUAGGGGAGCAAACAGGAUUAGAUACCCCCGUAGUCCCUGUCUCUUAUACA
rnacentral:rRNA from 1 species